CCGAUCGACUGAAACUAUCCAACAGGAUGUUUAAGUACUAUCCUUUGUCAUUAGUCGUGAUUCCGACAGGAUGUUUGAGUGCCGCCCGAAUUCGUGCUAUACUCUGGCAUUCGUUGUGAAUCCGAUGGAUGUUUAAGUGAUUACACUUUGUUAUUCGUCGUGAGGGUUUUAAUCUCGUGAGUUUAUCGUAAAUGCUGUAUUAGUUAUUUACCUAGUUUUCGUAUGCAUUAUAGUUUAAAUUAGGUUAUCAGGCUUAUUAGUAGACUAAACUCUACCCAUACACUUACAAUCAAAGUAGAUGCUAAUUCUCAGAAGAAAUUGAAUCAGGAAGCUUGUUAAUUCAAUAUUGCAUGCUUAUAAUGGAUUAAGUCUUUGUAAUCACCAUAUUACAGCCGGUAUGUGGGGUUUUGUAUACAUUACUUGAUAAUCUUCACCAUUGGGGCAGCCAAUGGGUGAUAUGACCAUAAUCACAGACACCAUUGGACAAUGAGAGGGCCAAUGGGUCGAGUGACAAAGUACCGUGGGUGGUUGGUUUGAUAUCAGAAACAUUGUAAUCGCUCUUAAUACUGUAAAUUAUAACAAAUGUGUCGUUUUCAGUAAAAUGAAUGAUUCAUUCAGUAUUUCCCCGCUGACAAAACCUUUUUAAAACGCGUUUCAGGUAAUUACAGUAGAUUAGAGUAAGAAUUGGAUCCGGCACUGAAGGACUUCAAGAAGUGGCUUAUUUAUUUUGAUUAAAUCAACUUAAGAAAUAUUGUUUUUGGGUUUAUCCCCUAUUAAAAGCUACCUUUGUAAAACAUGGAAUUUAUUCCAUCUAUUUAAAUAAAUCCGGUGU
rnacentral:lncRNA from 1 species